rnacentral:rRNA from 1 species
UACGGGGGGGGCAAGCGUUGUUCGGAAUUACUGGGCGUAAAGGCUGGUAGGCGGCCAACUAAGUCGGAUGUGAAAUCCCCAGGCUUAACCUGGGAACUGCAUCCGAUACUGGUCGGCUUGAAUCCGGGAGAGGGAUGCAGAAUUCCAGGUGUAGCGGUGAAAUGCGUAGAUAUCUGGAGGAAUACCGGUGGCGAAGGCGGCAUCCUGGACCGGCAUUGACGCUGAACAGCGAAAGCUAGGGGAGCAAACGGG